rnacentral:rRNA from 1 species
CCUACGGGGUGCAGCAGUGGGGAAUAUUGGACAAUGGGCGAAAGCCUGAUCCAGCCAUGCCGCGUGUGUGAAGAAGGCCUUCGGGUUGUAAAGCACUUUCAGUGGGGAAGAAAGCCUUGGGGCUAAUACCCUCGAGGAAGGACAUCACCCACAGAAGAAGCACCGGCUAACUCCGUGCCAGCAGCCGCGGUAAUACGGAGGGUGCGAGCGUUAAUCGGAAUUACUGGGCGUAAAGCGCGCGUAGGCGGUCUGAUAAGCCGGUUGUGAAAGCCCCGGGCUCAACCUGGGAACGGCAUCCGGAACUGUCAGGCUAGAGUGCAGGAGAGGAAGGUAGAAUUCCCGGUGUAGCGGUGAAAUGCGUAGAGAUCGGGAGGAAUACCAGUGGCGAAGGCGGCCUUCUGGCCUGACACUGACGCUGAGGUGCGAAAGCGUGGGUAGCAAACAGGAUUAGAUACCCGGGUAGUC